rnacentral:rRNA from 1 species
GAUGAACGCUGGCGGCGUGCCUAACACAUGCAAGUCGAGCGAUCUUCUUCGGAAGAGAGCGGCGGACGGGUGAGUAACGCGUGGGUAACCUGCCUCAUACACAUGGAUAACAUACCGAAAGGUAUGCUAAUACAAGAUGAUAUAAGAGAUUCGCAUGGAUUUCUUAUCAAAGCUCCGGCGGUAUGAGAUGGACCCGCGUCUGAUUAGCUAGUUGGUAAGGUAACAGCUUACCAAGGCGACGAUCAGUAGCCGACCUGAGAGGGUGAUCGGCCACAUUGGAACUGAGACACGGUCCAAACUCCUACGGGAGGCAGCAGUGGGGAAUAUUGCACAAUGGGCGAAAGCCUGAUGCAGCAACGCCGCGUGAGCGAUGAAGGCCUUCGGGUCGUAAAGCUCUGUCCUCAAGGAAGAUAAUGACGGUACUUGAGGAGGAAGCCCCGGCUAACUACGUGCCAGCAGCCGCCGUAACAC